ensembl:lincRNA
AUGCGCGCACGCCUCUGCCUCGGGAAGCCCGGCGCCGUGCAGCAACCUCUACCCAACGCGCAGGUUCCGCGGGUGACUUGGGAGCUUCUUUGUCCGCAUGCGCGACACUGGCCGAUCCAGUCCUUACAGACUCCCGGCCCGUAUUUGACGCCGUGUCGCGUGGACAGUAACCUUUUUUACCUUGAGUAUGCAAACCCGAGGAGAAUGGAGAAAAAAGAGGAUGCCAGUCUCAUUGUUUUGUUUCAUGGCCCAGUGCCCGCGGAGUCCCUUCCCUCCGCUCACCGCGGCGCGGCGUCGGGCCGGCCCACGGAGACGCUAACGCGUGGAGAGCGGGCGUGAGGUCAAGCUGUCGCGGGCGGCGAGGAGCUCAGGUUCUCUGAGCGGCGAGUCCUACUGGAUUGUGAGAACAGAAGUUUAGGAAAUGGAAAUAGUAAAUGGGAACAAUUCUUGAAUGUAACUAUGAAAAGAAGAGCAAAAUGAUGUUCAGUAGGGUUGGAGAAUUGCCUUACAGUUCCUGCUAUUAUUAGUAAUUAUUUAUUUUGGGGUUGCUGGAGACUGAACUCAGAGCCUCAUCCGUGGUAGGCAGGGUCUCUCAGUGAGCUACGCUCCCAGCCCUGUUAUUAUUUUUUAAAAUAGGAAGAGACAACAUAUUUAAAUUCUAACGAUAUGCAGGGCAUAGUGGCACAGACCUGUAAUUCCAGCACUCAGGAGGCUGAGGCAGGAGUGCUUCGAGUUCAAGCCUGGCUUGGGAUAUAUAGUAAAUUCAGGGCUAUCCUAAACUACAUAGCGAGACCCUGUCACAAAACAAGACAAGACAAGACAAAACCAAACCUAAACCUUGUUUAAUAACAAACACCCAGCAGUCAAAGGACAACUGGACCAUUAGAAGUUGAACACGUUGGUUUUUUUUUUUUUUUUUUUCUGUUUAAAAAUUAGCUGGGUGGUUGCACAGGCCUGUAAUCCCAGCACCCUGGGAGGCUGACUCAGGAAGAUCACAAGUUCACAAGUUAGAACCCAGCUUGGGCAAUUAGUGACACAGGGAGACCCUGUCUCAAAGUAAAUAGAAAAAAAUGGGGGAGGGGGGCCGGGGAUGUAGCUGUGACGCAGCGCCUGCCUGGCAAGCAUGAGGUCCUGAGUUUGAUUCUUAGUAAUCAGCGCCCCCCACCCCCGCCCCGACCGAAAAAGAAUGGGGAUGUAGCUCAGUGGGAAGAUCCUGGGAAGAUCCCUGUAACUUUGUUUUCGUGGACCUAGGUCACUCUAAUCAUUUCCCUCAGCUCAAUGCAGCGUUUCGUCAGACCAGCUGAGUUUUAGCUGUGAGUUUGAGGCCAGCCUGGGCUACAAUCCCCGGUACUGCCAAUAAUAAAUAAGUAACAAAAGAAAUUGAAUUUAUUUUGAGAUAAAUGUAGAUUCAUAUUUAACCACUAAAAUGACAUGAAAGGCUCAGUGGUAGAAGGCUUGCUUGUGAGUCUCUGGGUUGAACUCCUAGCAUUACAGAGAAACAGACAUAUAUCUGAAACAGAGAUCCUACUAAAAUACUAUAAAAAUGGGUUUAAAAGUCGCACUGGGC